GCCGCGAUCCCUCGUGAUCUGUGAUUGCAGACGCACGAGAUCGCCGCAGCCGCUGCUCCUCCUCUCCCGGGACGCAGCCGCCACCGCCAAACCAGAGAGACGCCAGCGACCGUCGCUACCGUCCCGGAUCACCAGGAAGCCACCGCCGCCGUCGCGCCUCGGAUAUGUCGUGGAUCACUGGGACGUGGCCGUCGCGGAUCAGGAACACCAGGUCACCGCCGGCAGCGGCCCCUCGGAUACCGGCGACCGGCGGCGAUCUGAGACCAACGAGUCGGCACCACACCCCUGGGUGUCCAUGUUGAACGGAGACGCCGAUGGUUGCCCUUCAAGCACCAACAAAUUGGAAAUUCCAAGCCCUGCUGAGAUUACGAACAGAGUGGAAAGGGAAUCAACACCAUCACGCCAAAACAUUGAAGGAACAGACGCAAUCGACAGUACUACAUUACUGCAGUCUGCACAUGUUGUGUUGAGGGGAGGAGUUGCUAGCAGUGGCGGAGCUACGCAGCCAAAGCUGGGCGGGCCGGCAUGAAGAAAGAUCACUAUUUUUUGUUCUCAUGAUCCAGUUUACUUUAAUCCUACACUGUAUUUGCUGUGGGAUGGUGGGCCAUGGCCAUUUUCGUAAUGCUUAGCUCUGCCAGUGGUUGCUAGCAUGCCAUAAUAUCGUGCUUCCCUUCUCUAUAAUCAUGCUCGUUUCAUGCAUUGCUUCACAUCACCAAAUUAUUGGUUCGACUGAGGUAUCAGGUAUGCAACUUUUAGACAAUGGAAGGCCUGUAUCUAAAGUUCUAAAGAAACACAUUAUGUGAGUUAACUAUGUAUUUGAUGAAUUUUCGUGUAAGCUUGGUAGUUCAGAAAAAUAUUUUGUUUCUUAUAUCAUGUGGUCAACACAAUGGAGAAACAGAAGAGAACAUUUAUCGUUUAGUUUAGUAAUAUCAUCUUUUAGGUUUUGUAAUUUUAUGUGUGUAGAAUGUUCCUAUAUUAAAUUUAUCAUUUUCAUAAAUAUACUAUGACUCUAAAUGUAGUUAAAGUUAUAGGUUUUCUUGGCCUAAUUCCAUCGCAUCAUUAACUGUUUGGUGUAUCCGCAGAAGCAUAAGGAUAAUUUUCCAAUAAAUCACUAGGCAUGUACUUCCAGGAAUUUGCAGGGAAUUUUACAUGAUUUUCGGCACAAAUCUGAAUUUGUCCAGAUCCCGACUCCUCAUGUCCUUCACACUCCUUGGAUUCACUGGAGUCUGGACACCGGAGGUGUGCAAAAGCCCCGGUGUCAGUUUGUUCAAAGAUGGAGUCAGAAGGAAGACCCUGUUUUCAAAUCUUAGCUCCGCCACUGAUAGGUGGGGUGCCGGCCGAGGAGGCAACAUCCACUUCUUCUGUGGACAAGGCCGGAGAUCCCGAGAGCAUCAGCAGAAUAGGAGGAGGAGGCAUAGGAGGCUGAGAGGGGUGACAUGGAGCAUGAGAUGGUGCCCUCGCUGCAAGAGAGGGAGCCCUGCCAAUAGUUGUUGUGGGCUUGUGGCACUGGCCACACGCAGCGCAUCACCAACCAUGAUCGUCCAGGCUGUGGCAUGGGGGUCGUGCUUGCUGCUGGUCCAAAGAUUCCCCCACCCUGAUGAUAAGGCCUCAUCCAUUCAAUUUUGACUCUGUAGACCACUAGCUUUUGGAAACAGAGAAGUAGCAGGAUGGGUAUAAUCAACUCAGCUGUUGGUUGCAUUGGGAGGUGGCAUGAACAAAGUAAAGGGGAAGAAAGCGAGCUUGGACACUAGGUGGUGGCACCAACCUGCAACUGUUUUGUUUCGGUCAAAGCAGGGGAGGGGUCAGGCAUGAACCAAACAGCUAUGGCUUAUUGCUUUGAGUCUUGCCGCACUAGGCAAGGUUAGAUCUUGUAAUGUCAUUUUCACGAUGCAAUGAUCAAGCUCUAAGAAAUUCUUGCGUACAUGUCUUUCAGUACUAUUUUUUCCCAUGGUUCAUCUGUGUAUGUCAUUUCCGUGAUGCGGUGAUUUUAAUAAUCUUGCUUAAAAUCGUUACUUAUUAGUUGUAACCAUUGUGGUCAAAUAAAGUUGGAAGCUUAAUCUUCAACCUUGUACAUUGUAGCUUUACUGUGAUCAUAGAGGAUAACACAAUGUGAUAUUGUCAUCUACAUGGUGAAUGU
rnacentral:rRNA from 1 species